rnacentral:lncRNA from 1 species
GCAACCUUCGUGCGACCCUUCAAUCCAUCCAGUUCUCCAUCCGGAGUUCAUAACCAAAUCUGAUCCAUUUGAGUGAGCCGAUCUUAGGGUCCUUCAAGUGGUAUCAGAGCCGCUCGUUUGGUAUCUUCUAAAUCAUUCAUCUUUCUCAUCUUCCAUUUCUAAAUCAUAAACACUUAUUCUUCUAUCCAUCUUGAAUCCGGAACCCUCAUUAUCAUCCUCUAUCUAUAAAAAAAAAAGUUUUUCAUUUGGGGAUUGGUGGUGGAAGAGAAAGCCUGCUGGCUGAGGAGAAAUCCAGCCUUUGAGGUGGUUAAAACGGAUUCCCAAAACCAAAAUCUCUUAUCUUUCUCUCUUUUUAAAUUAUCUUGUGUUUGCUUGGAUUUUGUCCAUUGGGAUUCUUUGAUGUGUUCUUC